GUGGCUGUAGCUCAGGUGGUUAGAGCACCAGAUUGUGGAUCUGGGGGUCGUGGGUUCAAGUCCCAUCAGCCACCCCA
rnacentral:tRNA from 1 species